rnacentral:rRNA from 1 species
UACGGAGGGGGCUAGCGUUGUUCGGAAUUACUAGGCGUAAAGCGCACGUAGGCGGCUUUGUAAGUUAGAGGUGAAAGCCCGGGGCUCAACCCCGGAAUUGCCUUUAAGACUGCAUCGCUAGAAUUGUGGAGAGGUAAGUGGAAUUCCGAGUGUAGAGGUGAAAUUCGUAGAUAUUCGGAAGAACACCAGUGGCGAAGGCGACUUACUGGACACAUAUUGACGCUGAGGUGCGAAAGCGUGGGGAGCAAACAGG